rnacentral:misc_RNA from 1 species
GCUUCAAUCAAUUGGUACUUCAAUAUCUAUAUAAUCCCAAGGGGUUCUUCUUCUUGCCUUCCAUUUCAGAGCCCUUCCUUUGCUAGUCGGUGGGAACCCAUUAAUGCCUAAGAUGUUUGGUGAUAGCUCAGAGCUUUCUCAGAAGUCCUCCCAAAUUAAGGAAGAUGACAAGUUCUUCUCUAGGCUUCUUUCCAAAGAAAGCUCCAUGGCUAACCAUUCUUUUCGCGUGUAUUAUGGUGGUGUUACUGUUGCAGUCCCAUUCAUGUGGGAGUCACAGCCAGGUACCCCUAAGCAUUCCUUCGGUGAAAGUACUCUCCCUCCACUCACUCCUCCUCCUUCAUACUAUUCAAAUUCUAACCAAAAACCCAUCAAGAAACACUACUCAAGAUCCAAUCUCUUGAACUUUCUGUUCUCAAGAAUCAACCCCAAGAAAACCAAUAAUGCCACUUCUUCUUCUGCUUUAUCGCCAACACCAUCUUCUGCUUCAUGGUCGUCAUUGAACUCUUCUAGUUUUCUUCCAUCUACACCUCACGAACGGAAAAGGUUUUCUAGCCUUGGCUCAUCAUUUGAUUCAAGGGCAUAUGAUGAAGAAGCAGCCUUUGGAUCACCUACUUCAAAUCAUCUGUGUUUUGGAGAUGGUAGAAGAAAUAGAAAUGGGUUUAAUCUUAAAGGAUGCUACGCUUGGUGGUGAAACAAUCGUAAUAAUUUGGAUUUGGUCAUGGAUCUGGCUGCCGUAGGUGAAAAAUCUGUACCUGUUUGUCCCUUUUUUUUUUUUGAGUUUUCGGCAGCCUUCUUCUUCUAUGGUAGUGGCUUCAACUGCCAAAAUCACUAAAAUGUAUUUCAUGAAUGUUAUUUCUUGAAACAUUGCUUUAUCUUUUUCUGAUAUAUGUAUCUAAAUUCUGCAGUUCAGACUUGACA